rnacentral:rRNA from 1 species
GACGAACGCUGGCGGCGUGCUUAACACAUGCAAAUCGAACGGAAAGGCCCUGCUUUUGUGGGGUGCUCGAGUGGCGAACGGGUGAGUAACACGUGAGUAACCUGCCCUUGACUUUGGGAUAACUUCAGGAAACUGGGGCUAAUACCGGAUAGGAGCUCCUGCUGCAUGGUGGGGGUUGGAAAGUUUCGGCGGUUGGGGAUGGACUCGCGGCUUAUCAGCUUGUUGGUGGGGUAGUGGCUUACCAAGGCUUUGACGGGUAGCCGGCCUGAGAGGGUGACCGGCCACAUUGGGCCUGAGAUACGGCCCAGACUCCUACGGGAGGCAGCAGUGGGGAAUAUUGCACAAUGGGCGGAAGCCUGAUGCAGCAACGCCGCGUGCGGGAUGACGGCCUUCGGGUUGUAAACCGCUUUCGCCUGUGACGAAGCGUGAGUGACGGUAAUGGGUAAAGAAGCACCGGCUAACUACGUG